AUCAUAAUUGUAUGAAGAUCUCUUCCGAGUGAUAAGGUCCCACCCUCACCUACCCUGUGUUGCGGUAUAGUUGCUUUCAAAUCAAUGGCGUAUUGCAUUAGCGUAGAUCAUGUAGAGACCUGCCUUACCUACAUUUUUUCUUUGUUUUUUAAAUGUGUGGCGCGUAACUCACAGAUGAGCUACUACAUAUUUAUCACUCGGAAGAGAUCUUCAUACAAUUAUGAUUGAACUUCACUAAGAUUGAAUAACUGGUGUUGUCCGAUCGUUUCGCCGUGAAUAAUAAAAUUGAGUUACACAACAAAUUUUCACUCGCUGGGCCCGCCACCUAUUGAACUGAAUGGAUUUUACCGCGUGAUGAAGAAUUAUUCAGGAAAAUGGAUAAAGAACUAUAUCUAUUUAUUUUAUUUAUUUA